UUCAGGUACAAGCGCCUUCAGCCAGCAGAUGGUUCAUGUCCUUCGAGGCCGCAACAUAUGGGGUGGAAGGAGUGUUGGGAGGUGAGGCUGAGAAUGGGGAGAGCAAUCCAGGGUCGCCAGGGUAGGAGCCGCAGCUGGCCCUUGGCCGCCCGGAGCACACUGAGGCUUCUGGAGCGCGCGAGGGACCCCGCGGGACCGGACCAAGGCCGCCUGCGCUCCGCAAAGGCGCGGGCACUGGGCGGGGACGCGGGGGCGGGAGCCAGAGGGGUGGGAGGCGGAGGGAUGGACGGUCCCGCAGGGCCAGGAUGGCCAGGGCGAGGCUGCUGGGAAAGGCAAGACCCUCGCCCCUACGCCGCCAGCUGGGCUUUUCUCCUUCCUCGCCCGCCGCGUGUUCCAGGGCGCGACCCCGCUCCGUCCAGCCGCUGGCUCCGAGGCUGAACCCCAGCAUCUGUGUAUCCUGCUUUUGUUCUUCAUGUUCCAGCAACCCAUAUCCUUUCAGACCACUGGAGCUCAGGACCCACUGUGUUUAUACAGGUCUUCAAGAAACCUCCAUACCCAAGAAAAAAUAGAAAGCAACCAUGUUCUACUAUGGUGUCAAAAAUAGUUGAACAUCGACAUCAAAAAGAUUCUUUCUGUCUGCUUAUUCACAUAUUCUGGUUUGAAUUAAAAGUGAUGAAAUUAUCCUAAA